AUACGAACCGGACAAACGUUAUUCGGAAUUAUUGGGCUUAAAGGGUGCGUAGGCGGCGCGGUAAGUGAGGUGUGAAGGCCCACGGCUCAACCGUGGAAUUGCGCUUCAUACUGCCGUGCUAGAGGGAGACAGAGGUAAGCGGAACUGAUGGUGGAGCGGUGAAAUGCGUUGAUAUUAUCAGGAACACCGGUGGCGAAAGCGGCUUACUGGGUCUCUUCUGACGCUGAGGCACGAAAGCUAGGGUAGCGAACGGGAUUAGAUACCCCGGUAGUCC
rnacentral:rRNA from 1 species